AUUGAACGCUGGCGGCAGGCCUAACACAUGCAAGUCGAGCGAGCGGCGGACGGGUGAGUAAUGUAUGGGGAUCUGCCCGAUAGAGGGGGAUAACUACUGGAAACGGUAGUUAAUACCGCAUACAAUUGGAGCGGCCGAGAUCGGAUUAGCUAGUUGGGGGGUGAAAGGCUCACCAAGGCAACGAUCCGUAGCUGGUUUGAGAGGACGACCAGCCACACUGGGACUGAGACACGGCCCAGACUCCUACGGGAGGCAGCAGUGGGGAAUUUUGGACAAUGGGGGAAACCCUGAUCCAGCCAUCCCGCGUGUAUGAGAAGGCCUUCGGGUUGUAAAGUACUUUUGGCAGAGAGGCGGUAUCUGCAGAAUAAGCACCGGCUAACUACGUGCCAGCAGCCGCGGUAAUUC
rnacentral:rRNA from 1 species